rnacentral:rRNA from 1 species
CUUUGAUCUGAAAUCAGGUAGGGCUACCCGCUGAACUUAAGCAUAUCAAUAAGCGGAGGA